rnacentral:rRNA from 1 species
CCGACCUGAGAGGGUGAUCGGCCACAUUGGAACUGAGACACGGUCCAAACUCCUACGGGAGGCAGCAGUGGGGAAUAUUGCACAAUGGGCGAAAGCCUGAUGCAGCAACGCCGCGUGAGUGAUGAAGGCCUUCGGGUCGUAAAACUCUGUCCUCAAGGAAGAUAAUGACGGUACUUGAGGAGGAAGCCCCGGCUAACUACGUGCCAGCAGCCGCGGUAAUACGUAGGGGGCUAGCGUUAUCCGGAUUUACUGGGCGUAAAGGGUGCGUAGGCGGUCUUUCAAGUCAGGAGUGAAAGGCUACGGCUCAACCGUAGUAAGCUCUUGAAACUGGGAGACUUGAGUGCAGGAGAGGAGAGUGGAAUUCCUAGUGUAGCGGUGAAAUGCGUAGAUAUUAGGAGGAACACCAGUUGCGAAGGCGGCUCUCUGGACUGUAACUGACGCUGAGGCACGAAAGCGUGGGGAGCAAACAGGAUUAGAUACCCUGGUAGUCCACGCUGUAAACGAUGAGUAC